AGCAGCUCCCGCAGCGAAACCCUAGCUGCCUCUCCACACUCCCCCAAUCCUGUCCACCACGUCCCUUUCUCUCCUCCAAUCCCCACGUUCUUCUCUCCCCAAUCCCCUCAAGACCCACUCCAUUUGUUGGUUUUCUCCAUGGUGGAGCGAGGGGAGGUGAAGGGAAGUAGGGCAGCAUGGUUAAGAAGGUGGAGAGGAGAAGCGCCUGAUACCCUCUCUCCCUUUAUUCCCUUCCAUGUCCUAGCUCAUCCUUCUCCACAGCAAGAAGAGUUUCAAUUGGAGGAAGAAGAAGAGGUGACAAAAAGAGGAGGAGAAGGAAGAAGAGAAGAUCCCCACCUUUCCUUUCAGAUCCCUCUUGAUCCAGAUCCAAGGGUACCUGAUCGGUAGGUUCCUCGACAGGUAACUGUCCGGAGGAAAGACGUUGGGAUGAAGUAGUCGAGAAAGGUAUGAAGUCACGCUGCAGCCAUGGAUUCUCCGCCCCAGGUUUAUGUGCAGCGCGUCACGAUGAUGUCUUCGCCUUCGUCGCACCACUGGUGUGUGCAUAAGCUGUUUGUGUAAAUGCAUAAAGGCAAAGAUCGCUCCGAGAAGAAAUGCUAACACCUCAGUGAUGCUAAAGUGGAAUAUUUUAUCAUGCAAGAUAGUGGACUGCAAGGUUGGACAUUUUUAAUAAACUUUGAUAGUCAGGUGAAUGCAAUCGCAUCUGGAUUCAUCGCAUCUAACAUGACCGCUGAACUUGGGGAGAAGAUUGAGAAGAAAAUAUUGUGGACUAUUUCCUUGGGGAGGUAUGGCCAGCCAGAGGAAGUUCCUGGGUUGGUUGACUU